UUCUCUCUUCAUAGCUGGCCACCAAUAAACUUUCUUCAGAUCUUGAUACAUCUUGGUGGCUCCGGGGUGAACGUUGUAUCUUGCAUUAUGAGCCUCUCUCAUAAUGUCUCCUUUUAGCCCUAUAUCGUCUGGUACACACAAUCGGCUCCCAUAGCGGAGGAUCCCCUUAUUGUCGAAUCUGAACUCACUAUCUUUGCCUGACUGAACAAUCCUGGCAAUCUUCACUAACUCUGGGUCCUCAUGCUGUUUCUGAGCCACCUGCUCCAGAAACACGGGUGCCACUCUCAUCUGAGCAAUCAAUGCACCUGUACCAGACAACUCCAACUGUAG
rnacentral:lncRNA from 1 species